rnacentral:rRNA from 1 species
ACAUGCCUGCAGCAUAGCGUUAAUGCACCAAAUCCCAUUAGAACUUUUCAGUUAAGCGCGCUCAGGCUAGAGUAGUACUGGGAUGGGUGACCGCUCGAGAAGUCCUAGUAUUUUACAUGCC